UACGGAGGGCGCUAGCGUUGUUCGGAUUUACUGGGCGUAAAGCGCACGUAGGCGGCGCAGCAAGUCAGGUGUGAAAUCCCGGAGCUCAACUCCGGAACUGCCCUUGAAACUGCAGUGCUAGAAUCUUGGAGAGGCGAGUGGAAUUCCGAGUGUAGAGGUGAAAUUCGUAGAUAUUCGGAAGAACACCAGUGGCGAAGGCAGCACUCUGGGACGGUACUGACGCUGAGACGCGAAAGCGUGGGGAGCAAACAGG
rnacentral:rRNA from 1 species